rnacentral:rRNA from 1 species
CCUACGGGUGGCAGCAGUGGGGGAUAUUGCACAAUGGGGGAAACCCUGAUGCAGCGACGCCGCGUGGGUGAAGAAGCGCCUCGGCGCGUAAAGCCCUGUCAGCAGGGAAGAAAAUGACGGUACCUGAAGAAGAAGCCCCGGCUAACUACGUGCCAGCAGCCGCGGUAAUACGUAGGGGGCAAGCGUUAUCCGGAUUUACUGGGGGUAAAGGGGGCGCAGGCGGCGAUGCAAGCCAGGGGUGAAAGCCCGGGGCCUAACCCCGGGACUGCUCUUGGAACUGCGUGGCUAGAGUGCAGGAGGGGCAGGGGGAAUGCCUGGGGGAGCGGUGAAAUGCGUAGAUAUCAGGAGGAACACCGGGGGCGAAGGCGGCCUGCUGGACUGCAACUGACGUUGAGGCCCGAAAGCGUGGGGAGCAAACAGGAUUAGAUACCCGAGUAGUC